CUGUGAUAGGGCAGCAGAGUCACAAUGCAAAGACCCACACAUUCUCUCUCAGUGCCAGGUCACUGCUGGGGGAUGGGAAAGGGUUGGUGUUAGGAAUUCAAGACUGUCUUUCCUACCCUCUUCAGUGCCUCUUUCUGUAACAGGAAGCUAAAACCAAGAUCCCUUUUUGACCAAAGAGAAACCACAAGGUACUUAUAAGCCCUGUGAGCUUGAACAGGAAAUGGGAAUUUGGGUCAAUAACUUUGAUGGAAUCAUGUCAGCUACUGGCAAGAGACAAGGAGGGCCUAGUCACAAGUACAGUGGAGCAAUUAUAGCUAACUGAAGUCUUGAAUUCCUGGGCUCAAGAAAUUCUCCCAUCUUGGCAUCCUAGUGUUGAGAUUACAGGCAUGAGCCACUCCACAUGGCUGAAGCAUUUUUAAUAUUUCAC
rnacentral:lncRNA from 13 species